CCUACGGGAGGCAGCAGUGGGGAAUAUUGCACAAUGGGCGGAAGCCUGAUGCAGCGACGCCGCGUGAGGGAUGAAGGCCUUCGGGUUGUAAACCUCUUUCAGCAGGGACGAAGCGUGAGUGACGGUACCUGCAGAAGAAGCACCGGCUAACUACGUGCCAGCAGCCGCGGUAAUACGUAGGGUGCGAGCGUUGUCCGGAAUUACUGGGCGUAAAGAGUUCGUAGGCGGUUUGUCGCGUCGUUUGUGAAAACCCGGGGCUCAACUUCGGGCUUGCAGGCGAUACGGGCAGACCUGAGUGUUUCAGGGGAGACUGGAAUUCCUGGUGUAGCGGUGAAAUGCGCAGAUAUCAGGAGGAACACCGGUGGCGAAGGCGGGUCUCUGGGAAACAACUGACGCUGAGGAACGAAAGCGUGGGUAGCAAACAGGAUUAGAUACCCUGGUAGUCCACGCCGUAAACGGUGGGCGCUAGGUGUGGGUUCCUUCCACGGAAUCUGUGCCGUAGCUAACGCAUUAAGCGCCCCGCCUGGGGAGUACGGCCGCAAGGCUAAAACUCAAAGGAAUUGACGG
rnacentral:rRNA from 1 species